rnacentral:tRNA from 2 species
UGGCGAGUGGCCAAGCGGUAAGGCGCCUGACUCUGGAUCAGGAGAUCGAAGGUUCGAAUCCUUCCUCGCCAGCCA